GAGAAGGCAGUGGGACUUAUGGCCAGACGCAUCACCUUGCAGGAGCCUGUGGGGACAUGGACACACCCUCUGUCGCUGCCCAGGGCUGAGGAUGGCAGCUGGACCGUGCAUGGCAGCGCCGUACAGACGGGACCUGCUGGCAGGACGUGGGCCAGGGUCGCAGGCAAGCCAUGAAGGAAACACACCUCACAGCCCAGCUCCAGCGACCUCAGAGGAGCCCAGUGAGGCCAACUCUGCAGACCAUGGACGCCCAGCAGGGCCCUCCCCGUGUGCGCCUCCAGGGGCACCGCUGGGUGUGCAUGGCCGGUCAGGACGUGGAUUGAGAACACGCUGGGUCAUGCACCGGGCACUUGGCCACGGCCAGUGAGUUCUGUGGUCACUGCCAGAGGCACCGCCGGCUGGCUCCAGGCCAGUGGGAGCUGGAGAGGACAGCUGUCCUGCUCUCGGCUCCACCAUAACAGUGACCUUCGGGUCCGGACGCCCAGACCAGACACAAAGACCCUGUACUGGAGACAGGUCACAGGAAGGGGUGUGUGGCGUCUCUGGACGGCCCCCCCCCCUUGGGGUACCCGGUGUCUGUCCGGCACCUUCUUGGGACUGUCCGGGCGUUUCCCGAGUCCCAGGCCUCCCUGGGGUGGGGCUGAGGUGUGGGCAGCCCACGGCUGGGUCUCUGCCUCCCUGAGGCCUCUCAGCGGGCUGGGGGCGGCCUCAACAAGAAGGAGCGGCUUUA
rnacentral:lncRNA from 1 species